AAUCAAAAGUUAUUCAAGAUAUCGUAGGAAAGAUUUUCACUGAAUUAAAUCAACCAAUCUCAAGUGUAUCCACAGAUUUAGUUGGGAUGGAUUCUCGCGUGAAAGAAAUGCUUUCUUGCUUAGACAUGGGGCUGCAUAAAGUUUGUGUCAUAGGGAUUUUGGGCAUUGGGGGAAUAGGUAAGACAACUGUUGCAAGAGUUGUUUACGAGAGGAUAUGUGCUCAAUUCGAAGCUUGCAGCUUUCUUGCCAAUGUUAGAGAGGUAACUGAAAAACAAGGUCUAGUUGAUUUGCAAAAGCAACUUCUGUCAGAUAUCUUGCUGGAAAGUAAUGUAAAUGUACAUAAUAUUUAUCAGGGGAUCAGUUUAAUAAGGCAGAGACUACAUACUAAAAUGGUUCUUAUCAUUCUUGAUGAUGUGGAUACUGUGGAACAACUGGAAGCAUUAUGUCAUCAUAGUUGGUUCGGUUCAGGGAGUAGAAUUAUCAUAACAUCAAGAAAUGAACAUUUGUUGAGCACAUUUGGAGUGAAUAAAGUGUAUAAGGUUAAGGAAUUAAAUGAUUCUGAAGCUGUUAAACUGUUUAGUAGGAAAGCCUUCAAGAAAGACCAAGUUGGAGAAAAUUUUCUCAAGCUGUCUAAGAAUGUGGUUGAAUAUGCCAGUGGUCUUCCAUUGGCUCUUACAGUUUUGGGUUCAUUCCUUUUUGGUAAAAGCAUUGAACAAUGGUCAAGUGCAUUGGAUAGACUAAAAGAAAAUCUCGAUAAAGGAAUUAUCGAUGUGCUUAAAGUAAGCUUUGACACAUUACAAGUCACCGAAAAAAAAGUAUUUUUGGACAUUGCAUGUUUCUUUAAAGGGGAGGACAAAGAUCAUGUAGCAAAAAUACUAGAAAGUGGUUGCAGAUACCGUCCAGACAUUGAUAUAAAAGUUCUCAUAGAUAAAUCUCUAGUAACUCUAGUUGGAAGAAAAUUGUGCAUGCAUGAUUUGAUACAAGAAUUGGGUUGGGAAAUUGUACGUCGAGAAUGUUGUGAAGAUCCAGGAAAACGUAGCAGGUUGUGGCUUCCCAAGGAUAUCAUCCACGUACUUGUACAAAAUAAGGGAACGGAUACAAUUGAAGGUAUGUUCCUCAACUUGCUGAAACAAGAGGAUGUUGACUUGAAUGCUAAUUCCUUCUCAAAGAUGUCCAACCUAAGAUUGCUCAGAAUUUGUAAUGUGGCCUCUCCUAGAUCCAUUGAAUAUCUUUCUAAUGAGUUACAACUUUUGGAAUGGCAUGCAUGUCCUUUAGAUUCUUUGCCGUCAAACUUUCAAUCAGAUAAGCUGGUUGAACUCAAAAUGCAUUCGAGCCGUGUCAAACAGCUGUGGAAUGGAAAUGAAAGCUGGAGCAUGCUAAAGUGCAUCAAUCUGAGUGAUUCCCAAUACUUGAUCAAAACCCCAAACUUCACUAAGGCUCCAAAUAUUGAGAUGUUGGUGCUUCAAGGCUGUUCAAGAUUGGUUGAUGUUCACCCGUCCAUGGGAAUUCUCAAACAGCUUAUCUUGCUGAAUAUGAGAAACUGCAAAUCUGUAAAGACUCUUCCGUCUUUCAUUAAUAUGGAAUCUCUUGAGAGUUUAAAUCUGUCCGCCUGUUCAAGACUCAAGAAGUUUCCUGAGAUAGAAGGGAAUAUGCGAAGCCUGUUGGAGCUUCAUCUAGAUGGGACUGCCAUAGAAGAAUUACCUCCAUCAAUUGAACAUUUGACCAGUCUUGCUUUGUUGAAUCUAGGAGACUGCAAAAACCUUUUUCAUCUUCCGAGUACCAUUCAACAUUUGACAUCUCUGAAAACUCUCAUUCUAACUGGUUGCUCAGAACUUAGUGACAUACAUGAGAAUCUGAAUUGUGUGGAAUGUCUGGAGGAGCUUGAUAUAAGUGGAACUGCUAUAAGAGAAUCGUCGUUCAUUGUAGGUUUGAAGAAUCUAAAGUCUCUAUCUUUUCGAGGUUGUAAAAAUCAGCCUUCAAGAUCAUGGCAUUCAGUCUUUAAUUAUUGGUGGCGGGGUAGAAACGGUCAUGUUCCUGGUAGUUUAUUGUUGCCUACUUCACUUUCAGGUUUAAGUUCUUUGACAAACCUAAACCUAAGUGAUUGUAAUCUGAUGGAUGGAGAAAUUCCCAAUGAUCUUGGUUCCUUGUUCUCCUUAAAAACAUUAGAUUUAAGGCAGAAUAAUUUUGUUGGCUUACCUGAAACCAUCUCUCAACUCUCCAAGCUUGAAUUUAUCAAUGUGAGCAAGUGUAGCAGGCUUCAAUUGCUGCCUAAGAAGCUUCCAUUAAGUCUUCAACGUGUGAAUAUGGAAGAUUGUGCUUCACUGAUAGACUUCCCAAAUCAAGUCAAAAUAUUUGCUUCACCUCUCUUGGGAAAGACUACUAGCGAUUCCCGCAUUUCAUCCAAGUUUCAAGAUUUCAAUUCUGAGAAACAAGAAUGGAGACCAGUUGACGAUUUGCAAAUUCAAUUGCUUCAAAGACAGCUUGAAGUAUUGAACUAUAGAUUAACUCCCUUACAGGCAGUUAGUUAUCAAACAGAAAUUCCAGAGUGGUUCAGCCAUAUGGUUACAGCGUGUUCUAUUGCAAUCCAGCUAUCUCCAGAUUUGAUUGAUUAUAGAAAGUUGAUGGGGGUUGCUCUAUGUGCUGUUUUCUCACUAAAGGGACAUCCUGCUGCCUCUUGCAUUGGAUCGGAUUCAGGAACUUCUUACUUCUAUCAAUGCAAAUUACCAAUUCAUAAAUUUUUUGAAUCUAAACCAUUAAUCCUUCAUGGCAAGCUACAUCGCAAAUUUGGAACUGAUGAUUUUCUUUGGGUUUUCUAUUUACCUCGUCGGUUCUUUCCAAAUGUGUUAAGUGAUUCAAGUGUUAUGAGUGCUCUAUUUGAAACCAACAACCCAUGCAUGGAAGUGAAGAAAUGUGGGGUUCGUCUAGUGUAUGAGCAAGAUGUUGCAGGGUUUAUCCAAACAUUACUACAGUGUGUUACUACUGGACCCCAGCCACAUCAAAUUGUCCCUUAUGAUGACUACAGGAUAAUUGAAGAAUUUGAUGAAGAUGGCUUUAAAACUGGAUGGUUUAGUAUAGUGGAUAACGUUUGGAGAUGGCAGAAAUUAAUUCCAGCUUAUGAAGAAGGUGUUGGUCCAGCGUAUGAAGGUGGUGUUCGAUUACCAUUUUGGUGUAACGUUUGGAUAAGGUGUAAGACUGGACUUGCCUUUCUGGUGUGAAGUUUCGAAGCAGGAACAGCAGAGGAAACAGAGGAUUCGGCCAGUCAGAUGAGGUUGGGUGGCCGGUAGUGUUACUCCGAGAAAAAAAAUGUGAAACGUACUUGUGUAUUAAGCCCGCCCUUAUUCUGUUUUCAUUACAAGAUCAAUAUGAUUUUGCUUUGCCUUUUGCAUCUCUCAAUAUAUUGACACCAAAAAAGAAAAAAACUUCAAGUAGACUAUGCGAAUUGUAUCUCUCAAUAUCUCACAAUAAUUAAUACAUGGAUUCCGAAGGAGAAA